rnacentral:rRNA from 1 species
CCAACAGAGGAAGCACCGGCUAACNGCCGUGCCAGCAGCCGCGGUAAUACGGGGGGUGCGAGCGUUGUUCGGAAUUAUUGGGCGUAAAGAGCGUGUAGGCGGCCGGAUGUGUCAGAUGUGAAAGCCCUGGGCUUAACCCAGGAAGUGCAUUUGAAACUGUCCGGCUUGAGUAGGGGAGAGGGAAGUGGAAUCCCUGGUGUAGAGGUGAAAUUCGUAGAUAUCAGGAGGAACACCGGUGGCGAAGGCGACUUCCUGGCCCUAUACUGACGCUGAGACGCGAGAGCGUGGGUAGCAAACAGGAUUAGAUACCCUGGUAGUCCACGCCGUAAACGAUGUUCACUAGGUGUUGGGGGUAUUGACCCCCUCAGUGCCGGAGCUAACGCAUUAAGUGAACCGCCUGGGGAGUACGGUCGCAAGACUAAAACUCAAAGGAAUUGACGGGGGCCCGCACAAGCGGUGGAGCAUGUGGUUUAAUUCGAUGCAACGCGAAGAACCUUACCUGGGCUUGACAUCCACGG